UCCUUUUAGCAAAAAGCCCCUCUUACUUUGUCGUUUUCCCCUGUCCUAAUUUGAGGUCUGGUCCACUCAGUGCCAAGUGAAAAUGAAGAGUUAUUUCUUAUGUAUCAGUGAAAGCAAUGAAUACAUCACAGCCCUGAGAAAUGAAGAAGGAAUUCUCCAGAGAUUUGUGGAAGGAGAGCAGGUCUGUUUUUCAAUCCCUAGCACUGACAAUGAAGAAAAUGCCAAGACCACUGACAGG